rnacentral:rRNA from 1 species
GAUGAACGCUAGCUACAGGCUUAACACAUGCAAGUCGAGGGGUAGCAGGGUAGCAAUACCGCUGACGACCGGCGCACGGGUGCGUAACACGUAUCCAACCUACCGUUUACUCGGGGAUAGCCUUUCGAAAGAAAGAUUAAUACCCGAUAGUAUAAAGAGUUCGCAUGUUCUCUUUAUUAAAGGAUUCCGGUAAAUGAUGGGGAUGCGUUCCAUUAGAUUGUUGGCGGGGUAACGGCCCACCAAGUCUUCGAUGGAUAGGGGUUCUGAGAGGAAGGUCCCCCACAUUGGAACUGAGACACGGUCCAAACUCCUACGGGAGGCAGCAGUGAGGAAUAUUGGUCAAUGGGCGUUAGCCUGAACCAGCCAAGUAGCGUGAAGGAUGACUGCCCUAUGGGUUGUAAACUUCUUUUAUAAGGGAAUAAAACGGGGAACGUGUUCCCCUUUGCAUGUACCUCACGAAUAAGGAUCGGCUAACUCCGUGCCAGCAGCCGCCGUAC